rnacentral:rRNA from 1 species
AUUGAACGCUGGCGGCAGGCUUAACACAUGCAAGUCGAGCGGGGGAAGGUAGCUUGCUACCGGACCUAGCGGCGGACGGGUGAGUAAUGCUUAGGAAUCUGCCUAUUAGUGGGGGACAACAUCUCGAAAGGGAUGCUAAUACCGCAUACGUCCUACGGGAGAAAGCAGGGGAUCUUCGGACCUUGCGCUAAUAGAUGAGCCUAAGUCGGAUUAGCUAGUUGGUGGGGUAAAGGCCUACCAAGGCGACGAUCUGUAGCGGGUCUGAGAGGAUGAUCCGCCACACUGGGACUGAGACACGGCCCAGACUCCUACGGGAGGCAGCAGUGGGGAAUAUUGGACAAUGGGGGGAACCCUGAUCCAGCCAUGCCGCGUGUGUGAAGAAGGCCUUAUGGUUGUAAAGCACUUUAAGCGAGGAGGAGGCUACUUUAGUUAAUACCUAGAGAUAGUGGACGUUACUCGCAGAAUAAGCACCGGCUAACUCUGUGCCAGCAGCCGCGGUAAUACAGAGGGUGCGAGCGUUAAUCGGAUUUACUGGGCGUAAAGCGUGCGUAGGCGGCUUAUUAAGUCGGAUGUGAAAUCCCCGAGCUUAACUUGGGAAUUGCAUUCGAUACUGGUGAGCUAGAGUAUGGGAGAGGAUGGUAGAAUUCCAGGUGUAGCGGUGAAAUGCGUAGAGAUCUGGGAGGAAUACCGAUGGC